GCUUAUUCGGUACGGCGGCCCCAACCUCCAGAUAGACUUCGUCAGCUUUGUCCACUUGAUGCUGCGUGCGGAGAACAUGGAAGAUGCCUUCCAGAACUUAACCCAAGAUGGCAAGGGGAUAUACCUUCAGAAGCCAGAGUGGCUGCUGAUGACUCUGUACUCCUGAGGAGGCUGGAGCCCUGUCUGCCUUCACCGAGGACUCUGCAUAUGGUUCAAAGGUAGCCUUCGGCUGAGAUCAGUUCACACUCAACCCAUUUAUCAUUCUUCGGGACCAUGUCUCCAGUCAUCAUCUUCUCAGCUGAGAUUAUUUCUUUUCUGCAGAUCUCCUUUGGAUAGGCAGUGUGCAAAAAGAGAAAGGAGUUAGGAA
rnacentral:lncRNA from 1 species